GCAUUUGGUGAAAUAAGUUGGGAGUUUCCUUACAAUUUCAAGAUGCAAUGCAGCUAUUCAGAGGGCAGCCUGGUCAGUUUAGGCUACAUAGUGAAGACUUUGCCACCACAGUCUGUGGUGUCCCAUCCCAUAGACCCAGGGGUUCAGCUGAGAGUGGCUAAAGAUAAAUGUUACACCCAGUACUAUCCAGAAACUGGUCUCCCCUUAAGAUUAUUUCUAGGAU